rnacentral:lncRNA from 1 species
UUCUAAAAUACUCAUAAAUUAAAUUUUUGAGUUAGGAGUUGAGUUCGAUGCAAUGGAUACCAGAAUAGUAUCACUUGAUUCUAAAUAUGCAUACUCAGGUGUGACCAAGGACUUCAGUUUUGGAGAAGGUGAUGAUUCUAGAGAGGAAGAACCGACUUCUAGGGUUGAAAAAAAUGAGACUCUAGAUUUAUAUAUCUCGGAUAACUCAACUGCUCUCUUCUUUUUUUUAUCUUUCUUACUC